UACAGAGGUCUCAAGCGUUUGUUCGGAUUCAUUGGGCGUAAAGGGUGCGUAGGUGGCGCCGUAAGUCAGGUGUGAAAUCUCGGGGCUCAACCCCGAAACUGCACUUGAUACUGCGGCGCUCGAGUACUGGAGAGGAGAUUGGAAUUUACGGUGUAGCAGUGAAAUGCGUAGAUAUCGUAAGGAAGACCAGUGGCGAAGGCGAAUCUCUGGACGAGUUA
rnacentral:rRNA from 1 species